GACGUAAUACGAGCUUGCUUAGAUAUAGUCGCUUAUGGCCCCUCUCUUACUGAGGAACAAGUGGGAAGAAAGACAGCCAAUGCUGAAAAUACAAAGGAAAAUAUUGCUACAUGUCAAAAUGGCAAAAGAAUUAUGUUGGAAGUAAUAUUAUUUAUUGGUUCGUCAACAGUGAAAAUGAAGUAUUUACCUGCCACAUAGAGACCGUUUUGUCAGAAGGAUACAGGAAGGAUCAAAUUAUAUAGAAAUAAAAUAUUUUUUCCA
rnacentral:lncRNA from 1 species